rnacentral:rRNA from 1 species
AGCGAACGCUGGCGGCAGGCUUAACACAUGCAAGUCGAACGGGCGUAGCAAUACGUCAGUGGCAGACGGGUGAGUAACGCGUGGGAACGUACCUUUUGGUUCGGAACAACCCAGGGAAACUUGGGCUAAUACCGGAUAAGCCCUUACGGGGAAAGAUUUAUCGCCGAAAGAUCGGCCCGCGUCUGAUUAGCUAGUUGGUGAGGUAACGGCUCACCAAGGCAACGAUCAGUAGCUGGUCUGAGAGGAUGACCAGCCUCAUUGGGACUGAGACACGGCCCAAACUCCUACGGGAGGCAGCAGUGGGGAAUAUUGGACAAUGGGCGCAAGCCUGAUCCAGCCAUGCCGCGUGGAAUGAUGAAGGCCUUAGGGUUGUAAAGUCCUUUUAACGGGAAGAUAAUGACGGCACCCGUAGAAUAAAGCCCCGGCUAACUUCGUGCCAGC